AUUGAACGCUGGCGGCAGGCUUAACACAUGCAAGUCGAGCGGAGAUGAGGUGCUUGCACCUUAUCUUAGCGGCGGACGGGUGAGUAAUGCUUAGGAAUCUGCCUAGUAGUGGGGGACAACGUUUCGAAAGGAACGCUAAUACCGCAUACGUCCUACGGGAGAAAGUGGGGGAUCUUCGGACCUCACGCUAUUAGAUGAGCCUAGGUCGGAUUAGCUAGUUGGUAGGGUAACGGCCUACCAAGGCGACGAUCCGUAACUGGUCUGAGAGGAUGAUCAGUCACACUGGAACUGAGACACGGUCCAGACUCCUACGGGAGUCAGCAGUGGGGAAUAUUGGACAAUGGGCGAAAGCCUGAUCCAGCCAUGCCGCGUGUGUGAAGAAGGCCCUCGGGUCGUAAAGCACUUUAAGUUGGGAGGAAGGGCUUACAGCGAAUACCUGUGAGUUUUGACGUUACCGACAGAAUAAGCACCGGCUAACUUCGUGCCAGCAGCCGCAGUAA
rnacentral:rRNA from 1 species